CACCGGAAAAAGAAGAGUGGCGAACGGGUGAGUAACACGUGGGUAACCUGCCCAUCAGAAGGGGAUAACACUUGGAAACAGGUGCUAAUACCGUAUAACAAUCGAAACCGCAUGGUUUUGAUUUGAAAGGCGCUUUCGGGUGUCGCUGAUGGAUGGACCCGCGGUGCAUUAGCUAGUUGGUGAGGUAACGGCUCACCAAGGCUACGAUGCAUAGCCGACCUGAGAGGGUGAUCGGCCACAUUGGGACUGAGACACGGCCCAAACUCCUACGGGAGGCAGCAGUAGGGAAUCUUCGGCAAUGGACGAAAGUCUGACCGAGCAACGCCGCGUG
rnacentral:rRNA from 1 species